rnacentral:rRNA from 1 species
UACGGGGGGUGCAAGCGUUGUUCGGAAUUAUUGAGCGUAAAGAGCGUGUAGGCGGCCGAAUGUGUCAGAUGUGAAAGCCCUGGGCUUAACCCAGGAAGUGCAUUUGAAACUGUUCGGCUUGAGUAGGGGAGAGGGAAGUGGAAUUCCUGGUGUAGAGGUGAAAUUCGUAGAUAUCAGGAGGAACACCGGUGGCGAAGGCGACUUCCUGGCCCUAUACUGACGCUGAGACGCGAAAGCGUGGGGAGCAAACAGG